rnacentral:rRNA from 1 species
GUGAGUAACACGUGAGUAACCUGCCUUAGACAUUGGGAUAGCCUCGGGAAACCGGGAUUAAUACCAAAUAAAAUCAUAAUGACACAUGUCAUAACGAUCAAAACUCCGGUGGUCUAAGAUGGACUCGCGUCCCAUUAGCUAGUUGGUAGAGUAAAAGCCUACCAAGGCGACGAUGGGUAGCCGGCCUGAGAGGGUGAACGGCCACAUUGGAACUGAGAAACGGUCCAA